UUGGAUUUCCAAGCCUUGGUUACUGGUUCCAACCUCCCUUCUUCUUCCACAUUGAAUGAAUUUUUCCAUCCCUUCUUAUUCCAACCUCGGUUCUUCAACAAAUUAAUUUCUUUCUCUUUUUCAAUACUUGGUUCAUGGUAUCUUCAAUUUCUACUGAUGCAUCCAGCCGCCGAUUCAGGUGUAUUGACAUCAAUGAUUUCUAUUUUUCAGAACAAGCAAAAGCAGCAAAAGCUUGCAAAUCCGACAAUGGUGAUGAUGGGAAUGUGAUUUGGUGUUUUCUGGAUCUACGAUGAUGGCUCGCCGGAGCUGUUUUGACGGUGGUAAAGUGGUGUCGCAGCUGUUGAGUUUCACUUCUCAUUUAAAAGUUACGAGCUUUACUGUCAACAGCAUUGAAGGAAUCGAAUUUGGGAAUGAAUUUGAUGGUAUGCAUGCUUAUCAUAGUGAAGACUGACAAUUCUUCAAAGAGAUGCACCAUGGGGCACGCUACAGCAUCAACAGUUCCUCCCAACAAAAAGGAUAACAAAUGCUCAAGGAUUGCCAUAUUAAGUUAUAUAGAAGUUUCUUCUAUUCCAAUGGAACCCUUCAAUCAUUCCAAUGGAACCCUUAACCACACUAUUGAAUUUUUAUGGCAUGCUGGGAGUUAUUCAAAAUCAUUUUUAUGGAUCCACCUCUUCCAACCUUUUGAAAGAUAGUUCAUUUGAGAAUAUUUCAUUGGUGGUUUCAGAUAAAGUUUCAAUUGAGCAUAUAACUGAUAACCAUAGUGUUUUGAGCUCCUCUACAGCAACAAAAUAGUUAUGCCUGGUUCAAUAGUAUUAUUUUGUCUGAUUAUACACUUUGGUGAAAGUUGUUUGAAUGGUUCUUUUAUUAGACGUGGCUGAUGGUUAUGAGAUGUGCAAUGAAGUUGAAGAUACUGUCAAAUUUGUUUCAGAAAAAUAGUUAAUAACCUUAUAGAAUAUUGUC